UACGUAGGGUGCGAGCGUUAAUCGGAAUAACUGGGCGUAAAGCGCCCGCAGGCGGGUCUUUAAGUGAGAUGUGAAAUCCCCGGGCUGAACCUGGGAAUAGCAUUUCAGACUGGGAGUCGAGAGUAUGUUAGGGGGGGGUAGAAUUCCACGUGUAGCAGUGAAAUGCGUAGAUAUGUGGAGGAAUACCGAAGGCGAAGGCAGCCCCGUGGGAAUGUACUGACGCUCAUGUGCGAAAGCGUGGGGAGCAAACAGG
rnacentral:rRNA from 1 species